rnacentral:tRNA from 1 species
AGCAGUGUGGCUUAGUGGAAAGAGCCCCUGCCUGAAGUCAAAGGAUUUGGGUUCCAAUCCCAGCUCUGCCA